rnacentral:rRNA from 1 species
UGGCUAAGACAUGCAAGUCGAACGGACCAUAUAAUUGGGUAACCGAAAGUAUGGUUAGUGGCGAAAGGGUGAGGAAUAGAUAGGAACGUACCCUGUGCUCUGGGAUAGCGUCUGAAGCUUCGGCUUCUUCCGAAAGGGGCGGUAAUACCAGAUAAUGUCCUUCGGGACCAAAGAUUUAUCGGCAUUGGAGCGGCCUAUCUCCUAUCAGCUUGUUGGUGAGGUAACGGCUCACCAAGGCAACGACGGGUAGCGGGACUGAGAGGUUGGCCCGCCACAUCGGGACUGAGACACUGCCCGGACCUCCACGGAGGGCUGCAGUAACGGAUAUUGGGCAAUGGGCGAAAGCCUGACCCAGCAAUGCCGCGUGCAGGAUGAAGCCCCUAGGGGUGUAAACUGCUGUCAGGGGUCAGAAAGCUGGUUUCGGCCAGUUGAUCAACCCCAGAGGAAGUCACGGCUAACUUCGUGCCAGCAGCCGCGGUAAUACGAAGGUGGCAAGCGUUAUUCGGAAUCAUUGGGCUUAAAGGGCACGCAGGCGGAACAGUGUGUGUUGUGUGAAAUCCCCCGGGUUUAACCGGGGGAUUGCACAGCAACUGCUUGUUCUUGAGGCAGGUAGGGGUGCAUGGAACUCUUGGUGGAGCGGUGGAAUGCGUAGAUAUCAAGAGGAACGCCAGAGGUGAAGAACGGUGCACUGGGCCUGUCCUGACGCUGAGGUGCGAAAGCGUGGGGAGCGAACGGGAUUAGAUACCCCGGUAGUCCACGCCGUAAACGAUGUCUACUAGGUCGUGGGUGUUCUGACACAUUCACGGCCGGAGCAAAAGUGUUUAGUAGACCGCCUGGGGAGUACGGCCGCAAGGUUAAAACUCAAAUGAAUUGACGGGGGCUCACACAAGCGGUGGAGCAUGUGGAUUAAUUCGAAGCAACGCGCAGAACCUUACCUGGGUUUGACAUGCUUGUAUGCCUUCUCUGAAAGGAGUUAGGCUGCCUUCGGGUGAAACUUGCACAGGUGCUGCAUGGCUGUCGUCAGCUCGUGUCGUGAGAUGUCGGGUUAAGUCCUUUAACGAGCGAAACCCUUGCCGUUAGUUGCCAGCGAGUAAUGUCG